rnacentral:ncRNA from 9 species
GUCCCUGCCCUUUGUACACACCGCC